AAUAUAGUGUGAACUUAAUAAAGAAAGUAAUUUAGAAAAUUAUUUUUUUUAAAUAUAAUUUUCUUUGUGUAUCAAACUUCCUGUAAUUAUCAGAAGCCAUAUUUGCUUUGUUCAAUCUAAAGAAAGUACUUAGAAGAUCUUUUGGACAUAUUCUGUAAUGUUGAUGUGAAUAUUUAUAAAUGUGUUGAAUACUGGCUCAACCUACACCUCCUGUUUAAUCCUUACUUAGGAACGAUACCUUUAAAGAGAAGUUUUGAUUCUAAUAAACGAUUGGAAAACCUAAAGUCUGGUUACAAUGGUGUCAGAAGUGGGAUUGGAAUCAUGAAACUGACCUGAGGGUAUCGAGGACCGGAAGUGGAGACAUGCACAACGAGCCAGAUGCCUGAGUAGUCCAUAGUUGAUGGUGGAUUCUGACAUUUAGUAUUUAGUUUGUGUUUAUGUUGCAUAAUAUGGUUGUACUUUUUGUGUGAAUUUUUCUAUGCUAUUUUUUUUCCUAUGUCUUUACCCAAAAUUACCAAAACACUGCAAAAGUUGAAUACAGAAUUAGAUAUCCAUUCAAAAAGAAAUAUCUCAACACCCAUAUUAUUAUCAGAUAGUAAAGGUUUAAGUCUUAAGAAAGAAGUAAGAACAGAUUUAGAACAUAAUAUUAAAUUUUGGUGUAAACCUGGUCUUCAAACUAAAAAUGCUAUAAACUGGUUUAAGAAUAGGCUUGAAUCUGAACUAAAAACCUUGGGGAAAAUACAUUUGUAUGUUUGGCUAGGUACAUGUGACCUUACUAUUAAGUCUGGAAAAUUUACAUCUAUCAGAUCAACCAGUGAUCAAACCGUAGAAUGUAUACAUGAACAAUUCCAAGAACUCAAGUCAUUUCUAGAACAUUACAAAAACGUUAAAGUAACAUUUUUGGAAAUUCCAGUGUAUUCCGUACUAAAAUGGAACAAAUCUAAAGGACAUGAAAAUCCGUCAAAAUUCAAACAAGAUGACGAACUUCUGGAAUCGCAAAUUAAGGAAUUGAAUAAAAUCAUUCAUGCUCUGAAUUCAGAAUCCAGAUCACCCAAGUUUUCAUUAGAUCUUCAGAGAAACAGAAAAGUUAAUAAAGGAAGGAAAAGUGUUUAUUAUUUCAACUAUGAACUUUACCGUGAUGGCGUUCAUCCAUGUUCAGCUCUAGCCAAGUUGUGGUUGAAAAGAUUAGCACUUUUAGUGGCAAAAGACUGUUAUAUUGAAUGACAUUUUC